rnacentral:rRNA from 1 species
AGCGAACGCUGGCGGCGUGCUUAACACAUGCAAGUCGAGUGCGCAGUCCUCUGUAGCAAUACAGAGGGCGGGCGCACGGCGCACGGGUGAGUAACACGUGGGUAACCUGCCCUGUAAUGGGGGAUAACCCGCCGAAAGGCGGGCUAAUACCGCAUGACAUUCCGGCGGCUUUGGCUGCCGGAUUCAAAGCCGAAAGGCGUUAGAGGAGGGGCCCGCGCCCGAUUAGCUAGUUGGUGAGGUAACGGCUCACCAAGGCUGAGAUCGGUAGCCGGUCUGAGAGGAUGGCCGGCCACACUGGAACUGAGACACGGUCCAGACUCCUACGGGAGGCAGCAGUGGGGAAUCUUGCGCAAUGGGCGAAAGCCUGACGCAGCGACGCCGCGUGGGGGAUGAAGCUUUUCGGGGUGUAAACCCCUUUCGACCCGGACGAAACGCCCGCAAGGGCCUGACGGUACGGGUAUAAGAAGCCCCGGCUAACUACGUGCCAGCAGCCGCGGUAAGACGUAGGGGGCCGAGCGUU